AACGAACGCUGGCGGCAGGCUUUACACAUGCAAGUCGAACGCAUCCUUCGGGGUGAGUGGCAGACGGGUGAGUAACGCGUGGGAACGUGCCCUUCAGUUCGGGAUAACCCAGGGAAACUUGGGCUAAUACCGGAUACGUGCGAGAGCAGAAAGAUUUAUCGCUGAAGGAUCGGCCCGCGUCUGAUUAGCUAGUUGGUGGGGUAAUGGCCCACCAAGGCGACGAUCAGUAGCUGGUCUGAGAGGAUGAUCAGCCACAUUGGGACUAAGACACGGCCCAAACUCCUACGGGAGGCAGCAGUGGGGAAUAUUGGACAAUGGGCGCAAGCCUGAUCCAGCCAUGCCGCGUGAGUGAUGAAGGCCUUAGGGUUGUAAAGCUCUUUCGUCCGGGACGAUAAUGACGGUACCGGAAGAAGAAGCCCCGGCUAACUUCGUGCCAGCAGCCCUGUAA
rnacentral:rRNA from 1 species